rnacentral:rRNA from 1 species
GACGAACGCUGGCGGCGUGCUUAACACAUGCAAGUCGAACGGUAAGGCCCCAGCUUGCUGGGGUACACGAGUGGCGAACGGGUGAGUAACACGUGGGUGACCUGCCCCGCACUUCGGGAUAAGCCUGGGAAACUGGGUCUAAUACCGGAUAGGACCGCACCGUGAAGGUGUGGUGGAAAGUUUUUCGGUGUGGGAUGGGCCCGCGGCCUAUCAGCUUGUUGGUGGGGUAAUGGCCUACCAAGGCGGCGACGGGUAGCCGGCCUGAGAGGGUGGACGGCCACAUUGGGACUGAGACACGGCCCAGACUCCUACGGGAGGCAGCAGUGGGGAAUAUUGCACAAUGGGCGGAAGCCUGAUGCAGCGACGCCGCGUGGGGGAUGACGGCCUUCGGGUUGUAAACUCCUUUCACCAUCGACGAAGGUUUUCUGACGGUAGAUGGAGAAGAAGCACCGGCUAACUACGUG